ensembl:lncRNA
CUCACCUGUGCUCUCCAAAGCAGUUACACUUGACUUGGUUCUUCUCCAGGAGGAGCAGCUUUGUGUUCCUGAGCUGAUUAUCGACUAAAUAUGGACGAAGAGAAAGCCGAACUCUUCCAGGCUCUGAGAGCCAUGGCUUUUUUAGAGGCGUUGGAAAUACAAGCGGAAAUUCUGAAAAGGCUGAUUGCUGCAUGUCGCCCUGAAAGUCCCAGGAGCUCUGCUGAAAGGAAAAGAUUAAUAAACCUUGCAAUAGAAAACUGCAAAGAUGAAACUGUCCUGCAGUGGCUGAGAGAAAAUUCAGAGUCUGGCACCUUCAGAAAACUCUCAGACAUGUUUGAUUUCCUGAAAAGAAAAAUUGAUGAGGAAGAAAAGAAGAACCAUGAUGACACUGUUGACAUAAUCUUUGUGUCACAUGGAUCAAUCAGAGACUCCAUGAUCCCAGCCAGCUGUUUGCUGCCUCUGCCCACCAUCACUGACCUGGUCCUGUACUCUCCCUGGAACUGUGGCACCACUGGUGAUGUAACCUAUGGCAUUGCAACAGGAAAAAUGAGGCCACAGCACAGAGUUUUUUACCAUAGAAAAGAAAAAGACGGUAAAAUUACUCCUGAUACACAUCAACCCCUGAACCUGCCAAACUACUGGAACUCACUGAAGAAAGCUGGAGGACGGAAGAUCCCAAACAUCAUUGUUAGCCCUCUGCAGGAAGAUGAAGGAGUGUGGAAAAAAUUUAAGUCUCUCUCAACAAAAUAUGGUCCACCAGGACGA